UAGCAGCUCAGUCUCUGUUACCUGUGGCUGCAUUUGGAAGACAAGCAUGUGCUGAGUAGUUCAUCCUUAACGGGAGAAGAGACUCCUUUAGACGUCGUGAGGGACAGCCUGUCUUUGGUUCUCUGCUUGACCGCUGAUCCAGCAUGAAGGGUCCCAGUAUUACUCUAUCUGUCUCCAUGAUAACAGGACCCCCCUUCUUACUGCACUAUGAGAAUCAGCAACUCACCUGAACAUUACCUGUGAUGUGUAAAGACUGCGAAAGGAGUGAAAUAAAAAUGA